rnacentral:tRNA from 1 species
UGGCUUAGUGGUAGAGUACUUGCCUUGCAUGCAUGAGGCCUUGGGUUCGAUUCCUCA